AACAUCGCCUCUUGCAAAACUAAAAAAUAAGAGGUCUCGCCUGCCCUGUGACUAUUCGUUUAACGGCCGCGGUAUUUUGACCGUGCAAAGGUAGCGCAAUCACUUGUCUUUUAAAUGAAGACCCGUAUGAAUGGCGUGACGAGGGCUUAACUGUCUCCUCUUUCAAGUCAAUGAAAUUGAUCUCCCCGUGCAGAAGCGGGGAUAAAAACAUAAGACGAGAAGACCCUAUGGAGCUUCAGACACUAAAGCAGCCCAUGUCAAACACCCCCGAUAAGGGUACCAAACAAAGUGUGCCCUGCCCUAAUGUCUUUGGUUGGGGCGACCGCGGGGAACUAAAUAACCCCCAUGUGGAGCAGGAAAACUUUUCCUACAACUGAGAGCCACAGCUCUAGUCACCAGAACUUCUGACCAACAAGAUCCGGCACUGCCGAUCAACGGACCGAGUUACCCUAGGGAUAACAGCGCAAUCCUCUUCUAGAGCCCCUAUCGACAAGAGGGUUUACGACCUCGA
rnacentral:rRNA from 1 species